UGGGGAAUAUUGGACAAUGGGCGCAAGCCUGAUCCAGCCAUGCCGCGUGAGUGAAGAAGGCCUUAGGGUUGUAAAACUCUUUCGCCGGGGAAGAUAAUGACGGUACCCGGAGAAGAAGCUCCGGCUAACUUCGUGCCAGCAGCCGCGGUAAUACGAAGGGAGCUAGCGUUGUUCGGAAUUACUGGGCGUAAAGCGCACGUAGGCGGACUUGUCAGUCAGGGGUGAAAUCCCAAGGCUCAACCUUGGAACUGCCUCCGAUACAGCAAGUCUUGAGUUCGAGAGAGGUGGGUGGAAUUCCUAGUGUAGAGGUGAAAUUCGUAGAUAUUAGGAAGAACACCGGUGGCGAAGGCGGCCCACUGGCUCGAUACUGACGCUGAGGUGCGAAAGCGUGGGGAGCAAACAGGAUUAGAUACCCGUGUAGUCCCUGAGCGGGCUGGCAAGGCGCAU
rnacentral:rRNA from 1 species